rnacentral:rRNA from 1 species
UACAGAGGGGGCAAGCGUUAUUCGGAAUUAUUGGGCGUAAAGGGCGCGUAGGCGGCUUUGCAAGUGACGGGUGAAAUCCCUCGGCUUAACCGAGGAACUGCCUGUCAAACUGCAUGGCUUGAGACCGGGAGAGGUGAGUGGAAUUCCGCGUGUAGCAGUGAAAUGCGUAGAGAUGCGGAGGAACACCGAUGGCGAAGGCAGCCCCCUGGGUUAACACUGACGCUCAGGCACGAAAGCGUGGGGAGCGAACAGG